rnacentral:sRNA from 1 species
CGUAAUUUUGCCGAGCUAAAAGCACCAGUUGAUCCAAAGGAUUGUCUGCGAGUAAAAGAAGGAGAUAGAAAAUGUAUCAAUAAUCAGUAAAGAUUAUCGGCUCAGUUAAGCGAAAUAUUCGCGAAUUUAUUGCAAUACGCUGUUGUUGUUGUGGUAGCAGUUUUGCGGCGGGUGUUAAGUCCUUGCCCAUGUAUAUCCGAAACAAAACGUGUAAAAAAACUUUGUCAUCGUCAGGUGACGAGAAAAAUGUCCAGCUUGAACAAUGCAUACAACAAACUGUAGCAAACACUAGAGAAUAAAAUGUUUCAUUUAUUAUAUAAAUCCAAUGCCAACAUUAAGGUUUUGCAUUUGUUGUUGACCUUCAACAUUUCUGUUCUCCAAUGAAAUACGGAGUAACAGCCAAAACAUUUUUUCUCCUAGUAAAAUUCCCUAAAGGAAAAAAAAUACUGAUUAACUUUUUUUCAAUAAAAAUUAAGUUUUAUAUCAACAA